CUUAUAAGUUGGUUUUGCAGCAGUAAUCUAUAGGGUUUUGUGGUUCUUUCUCUUUCAGCUUGAUGACUGUGCUCUGCAACUGUCUCACAAUGGUACCUACUUGGAUUUAGAGUCUACAUUAGCUGAGCAAAAGGAUGAAUUGGAAGGUUUCCAGGAGGAUUCUGGCAGGAGCAAAAAACACAGUAUAAUCCUGAGGACCCAACUGUCAGUGAGAGUCCAUGCUUGUAUCGAAAAACUUUACAACUCCAAUGGACGGGAGCUGAGGCGUGCACUCUUCUCCUUGAAACAAAUAUUUCAAGAUGACAAGGAUUUGGUUCAUGAGUUUGUUGUGGCAGAGGGCCUCACUUGUUUAAUAAAAGUGGGAGCAGAGGCAGACCAGAACUACCAGAAUUACAUCUUAAGAGGUACAGAAGCUUGAUUCACUAGCAUUUUUAGUUAAUAUUUCAGCUCCUCUGCUGCAAACUAAUAUCAU
rnacentral:lncRNA from 11 species